UACAGAGGGUGCGAGCGUUAAUCGGAAUUACUGGGCGUAAAGCGCACGUAGGCGGCUUGGUAUGUCGGGUGUGAAAUCCCCGGGCUCAACCUGGGAACUGCAUCCGAAACUGCCUUGCUCGAGUAUGGGAGAGGGAAGUGGAAUUUCCGGUGUAGCGGUGAAAUGCGUAGAUAUCUGGAGGAACACCGGUGGCGAAGGCGGCAUCCUGGACCAUGACUGAUGCUGAGGAGCGAAAGCCAGGGGAGCAAACGGG
rnacentral:rRNA from 1 species